GAGAGCCGGAUGCGGGGACAACCCGCACGUCCGGUUCGGGCGGGCGGCCAGCGGAAACGGACCGAGAGCAAU
rnacentral:ncRNA from 1 species